rnacentral:lncRNA from 1 species
AGUUAAUUUGCCACUGUGGAUGAUGUGGAGUAUUCACAUUUCUAUGAAAAUUCCUGGGAAAGGUUGAAAGUCAAGUUCAAGGAUUUCAACAUUUAACCUGUUGAUAUUGUUGUAUCGACAAAGUUCAAAUGCAUUUUAAAUCCAAAGAAUACAGAGGGUGUCUGAGACAUGAGUGUGCCCAGUCUUUUCUAUCACAGGCCACACACAGGUCUGGCUCACUGGGAUUUGCCAAGAAGACUUCUCUAUGAAAUUCAAGAACUAUGGAAUUAUCUUUUUGUGGCCUCAAGGGGGGAAUAUGGGCCUGCCCUGGAAAACCAAUGGAAGGUCAUGGGCUAAAAGAUAUUACCUCAAAGAAAAUCAUUGGAAACUUGAAGCUGUUAUUUUUAGUCAUUCUGUUUGCCAUCACCUCUUACAUUUCAAAUCAGGAAAACAUGCACCUAAAAUUCACACUUCCUCCUGUUUUGCAAAAGAAAACCCACACACUGAUCCACAUGCUUAUUUCCUUUCACCCUGGGCUGUAUUCCCAAGCAUGCUAGAACCCAGACUUUGCCCUGUGUCAGACAUAUGA